rnacentral:rRNA from 1 species
AUUGAACGCUGGCGGCAGGCCUAACACAUGCAAGUCGAACGGUAACAGGAAGAAGCUUGCUUCUUUGCUGACGAGUGGCGGACGGGUGAGUAAUGUCUGGGAAACUGCCUGAUGGAGGGGGAUAACUACUGGAAACGGUAGCUAAUACCGCAUAACGUCGCAAGACCAAAGAGGGGGACCUUCGGGCCUCUUGCCAUCGGAUGUGCCCAGAUGGGAUUAGCUAGUAGGUGGGGUAACGGCUCACCUAGGCGACGAUCCCCAGCUGGUCUGAGAGGAUGAGCAGCCACACUGGAACUGAGACACGGUCCAGACUCCGACGGGAGGCAGCAGUGGGGAAUAUUGCACAAUGGGCGCAAGCCUGAUGCAGCCAUGCCGCGUGUAUGAAGAAGGCCUUCGGGUUGUAAAGUACUUUCAGCGGGGAGGAAGGGAGUAAAGUUAAUACCUUUACUCAUUGACGUUACCCUCAGAAGAAGCACCGGCUAACUCCGUG